UACGUAGGGUGCAAGCGUUAAUCGGAAUUACUGGGCGUAAAGCGUGCGCAGGCGGUUGUGCAAGACAGAUGUGAAAUCCCCGGGCUUAACCUGGGAAUUGCAUUUGUGACUGCACGGCUAGAGUGUGUCAGAGGGGGGUAGAAUUCCACGUGUAGCAGUGAAAUGCGUAGAUAUGUGGAGGAAUACCGAUGGCGAAGGCAGCCCCCUGGGGUAACACUGACGCUCAUGCACGAAAGCGUGGGGAGCAAACAGG
rnacentral:rRNA from 1 species